rnacentral:tRNA from 1 species
GGGGAUUUAGCUUAGCGGCAUGAGCACCUGCCUUGCAAGCAGGUGGUUGUGAAUUCAGUCCCCG